GCCCGUGUGGAUCAAUCGGACUGCGCACUGGACUCACAAUUCAGAAAUCGCUGGUUCGAAUCCCGCGGCGGGCG
rnacentral:tRNA from 1 species